rnacentral:rRNA from 1 species
GACGAACGCUGGCGGCGUGCUUAACACAUGCAAGUCGAACGGAAAGGCCCUGCUUUUGUGGGGUGCUCGAGUGGCGAACGGGUGAGUAACACGUGAGUAACCUGCCCUUGACUUUGGGAUAACUUCAGGAAACUGGGGCUAAUACCGGAUAGGAGCUCCUGCUGCAUGGUGGGGGUUGGAAAGUUUCGGCGGUUGGGGAUGGACUCGCGGCUUAUCAGCUUGUUGGUGGGGUAGUGGCUUACCAAGGCUUGGACGGGUAGCCGGCCUGAGAGGGUGACCGGCCACAUUGGGCCUGGGAUACGGCCCAGACUCCUACGGGAGGCAGCAGUGGGGAAUAUUGCACAAUGGGCGGAAGCCUGAUGCAGCAACGCCGCGUGCGGGAUGACGGCCUUCGGGUUGUAAACCGCUUUCGCCUGUGACGAAGCGUGAGUGACGGUAAUGGGUAAAGAAGCACCGGCUAACUACGUG